rnacentral:sRNA from 1 species
UGAUGGUAACUCGGUCUCUAGCUCACUGC